rnacentral:rRNA from 1 species
UACAGAGGGUGCAAGCGUUAAUCGGAAUUACUGGGCGUAAAGCGAGCGUAGUCGGUUAUUUAAGUCGGGUGUGAAAGCCCCGGGCUCAACCUGGGAAUUGCAUUCGAUACUGGAUAGCUAGAGUUCGGCAGAGGGAAGCGGAAUUUCCGGUGUAGCGGUGAAAUGCGUUGAGAUCGGAAGGAACGCCCGUGGCGAAAGCGAGUUCCUGGACGUCGGCUGACGCUGAGACGCGAAAGCCAGGGGAGCGAACGGG